rnacentral:rRNA from 1 species
AUUGAACGCUGGCGGCAUGCCUUACACAUGCAAGUCGAACGGUAACAGGUCUUCGGAUGCUGACGAGUGGCGAACGGGUGAGUAAUACAUCGGAACGUGCCUAGUAGUGGGGGAUAACUACUCGAAAGAGUGGCUAAUACCGCAUGAGAUCUACGGAUGAAAGCAGGGGAUCGCAAGACCUUGUGCUACUAGAGCGGCCGAUGGCAGAUUAGGUAGUUGGUGGGAUAAAAGCUUACCAAGCCGACGAUCUGUAGCUGGUCUGAGAGGACGAUCAGCCACACUGGGACUGAGACACGGCCCAGACUCCUACGGGAGGCAGCAGUGGGGAAUUUUGGACAAUGGGCGCAAGCCUGAUCCAAGAAUGCCGCGUGCAGGAUGAAGGCCUUCGGGUUGUAAACUGCUUUUGUACGGAACGAAAAGCCCCGGGUUAAUACCCUGGGGUCAUGACGGUACCGUAAGAAUAAGCACCGGCUAACUACGUGCCAGCCGCCGCCGUAA